AUGUGUGUUCCCUUUCAUACAAACGACAAUAGAUGAUUGGGGAUGCAAAGCUUCUCUCCCUCCUUGCCUUUUUCGUAUUGUCCUUGUUGUGUCUUGAGUACAAGAUUCCAGCUCAUUGUCACGUUGGUAGCUCGAUUACGCUUAUCCAAAAGUGAGUUCGAGUGAAUAUUGAACUCUUACUCUCAAUCAGUGUUUUCUUACCCAC